AGCGGAACAUGCAAACUUUAAUUGCUGCGUCACCAGGCCAGCCCCAUCUAUUUUUCUAAUUUCCAGCAGUUUUAGUUUUGUGUAUUUGGGAGCUGUUUCAUUUUAGAAUCAAUAAGUGUAAAGCAGUUGAAGCAUUAACAUGCCAUAGGAUCUCAGAUUUGGACGCAGUCACCGAGUCCCAUCACAGCCACGGCCAUUCUCCAUGCCCGGACGGGAAGAGUGUCUUACAGCACCUGCCACACGACCAGCUGACUUGUUGAAUACCUUUAAAGACGACAUAGACCAUGAAAUUAAGAAUGACUACAUUACACUUGGAGGGGACACAGACUGCAAAAUGUGAGACAAUUGAUAGAAAAGCACUUCCAAAAGGAUCUGGAGCUAAAAAAGAAAAAGAGAGGAAAAAAAAGUUUGGAAACAAAUGCUGGUUUUCAGUGACCACUUAGGGGGCCAGUUCCAGAGAAGAUGCUCCUAGAAGGGCCCUGCAGCACAGCCCGGCUCAGAUGGAACAACCUGGCUUUCAUUUGGGAGUCCCUUCUUCCUCCGUCCACGUGGUUCUGUGGGUGCCCCUGUUCUUGAAUCCAGUGGUGACUUGUGACCCAGCGCAGCCAGUCAGACCGUCACGGCCCCCACACAGCAGUGACUGGCUCAGGGCUUCCUGUCAGCUACUGCAAUCGCAGCCUCUCCUUCAGUUCUGCAGCCAUCUUGCUACACAGAGCUUGACAAUAAAACCAGAUUUAUUAUUUUUUUAGCCCAGAAUCCAGCCAUGUUUGGAGUCUGCUCCACGUUGGGGCUUCUUAGCUACAAGAUCCAGCAAACCCUCCUCCAUUUUUGUCUUGUUUUAUUUUUCUCCUUAUACUAGUUCAUAGUGGAUUUUCUGUAGAAUCCUCAGUGAUGUAUUUGUGAAUAUUUCUAAAUCUCUAAAACGUAAAAUUAUACAAUGAAGAAUUAAAAUAAUUUUUAAAAAUCAAGCAAAAUAUCUGACUAGUUUGUAUAUUGAAAUGAGUGAGCUAUUAGCAUAUAGUAAAGAUACACAAAGCAUCAUUGUUCUACGCUGUGCUUCCAGAACUUGGAGCAUUAGUGUGUGACAGGCGUCAAGGAUUCUUUCUCGCACAUCACCAAGUAGCUAAUAUUACUGUAGAUUCAAGAGCUUAAAAAUUUGGUCAUUAUCAAGACCAAUUAUCAAGAGUUCAGCCUUAAUUCUUUCUGAAAUGAGGUGGGAGUAUAAAUAAGUGUAAAACGACAUCAAGCAAUUUCCUUCCCUUUCUAGCAGCUUCUUCUCCAGGAAGCCAGUGCUCUUUUUACGGAGUCCAUAUCCUCAUCCAGUGGUUCUUAAAAAGCACAACAUGCUACUUCUGACCACUUAGAGUGAAUAAAUAAUUCAGCGUGAGAUAAUGCCAAAUGUCACACACAACAAAUCAAGCUUCCUCCAAGUCCCUCGAGAAGUAUCUUCAGAAGAAAUAUGGAGGGACAAGUUCAUGGAUUCCUAUACUGUUUGUCAUAAUGUCAGAACAAUAAGAAACAUUCAUACUUCAGGUUGUGUGUGUGGCAAAGUGCCCUGUGAUCACCCGGGUGGUGCUGGGGUUGAAAGAUGCACUUGAAGCCCACCUGGAUGGGAGAACACAGGCUGAACGGGGCAGAAGGGUCUUCGAAGGCAUCUCCUCCUCCAAGGAAUCAUUGAUCAGAAUGAUCCCAGAAAAACAAGGGAUUUCUCUCAUUUUAAAGACGGAAUUCAUUCCUUUAGUAACCCAUGUCUAUACAUAAGCCUCCCAAGAAAUGAAUCAACUGUGUUUUGUCCAAACCCUUCAGGCUGAAAUUCUUCUGUUUUCUGGAAACAGAAAGCUGCUGAGGACUGUCAUCAGUGUGGGAGCGCUCCACAGAUUUGGACUCUGUAAUGAAAAGCUCUUCUUUAUGCUGAAUAUCUUGACUCCUUUAACCCGGUCCUUCUCAACAGGGGGUGAGGGUUUCCCCCCAGGGGACGUUUGUCUGCAGACUUUUCUGGUUGUCACAACUGGAGGGGAAAUGAUACCGGCAUCUAGCGGGUAGAGGCCAGGCACGCAGCUGCCAUCCUACAGGGCGGAGGACAGGUCUGCACACCCGCACACGCAUCCCAAAGACUUAGCCCCAAAUGUUAAUAGUACCAAGGCUGAUAAACUCUGCUACCUUUCCUUACAUAGUCUUAUUUUCCGGACCUUUAAUAAGCAUUUGACUUUUCGUUGAACCGCUUCUCAAACUUGCAUUAUCCUACUUAGAUUUGGAGCUGUGAAUUACACGUGAGCCUGACCACUUCCUAAUUCCUCCAGUCUGUGACACUUGUUCAGGAAUAACCUAGAGUGACGCGUCCUGUGGGAAGGUUACAGACCCAGAACUUCUCUCAGGAUGUAAAUGACCCACUUCGCGUGUCUGUACACAUUUGGAUGAACUACGAGGGCACACCUAAAAUUCUAUUCAAACAAGGUUAUGGGAAUAUCUGAGCCUGAAAGAAGAGGCAGGGGCCCAGGGUGGGGCAGAGAAAGGAAGAUCUUGCCCAGCUGAGCCAGAGGAAUAAAGAGGGACAGGAAACAGGAGAGAGAGGAUCCCAAGGCAGCAGUCUGAACGUCAGCGACCAAAGAAAUGGGCUAGAUCAGGCUCCCAGCCUCAGACACGAUGUACUGCCGCCUACGGACACGUAUUCAAGAUCACUUUUCAUGAAAUCUUAAACUUCUGUAACUUUUCCAACAUUUGUUUAUUUUCAAUCCCUUGUUUCUCAAUAAUGUGGAGCAGCGAAAACCCUAAAAAUGAAAAGGCUCAAAUAUUGGCUUCAAAAAUAGCAGGAGUAGCCCCCUUUGGGGCCAACCUUGAAGAAAAAGGAAUUCUGGAAGAGAAAUUUGACUGGCCAUAGCUGAGAAGGGAAGCAAUCUGGGAAAAUCCUGAGAUCUGCGAGAAGCAAUUUGGGACCUCCAAAGGGCUGGUGCUGAGGUUGGAAAAAGUGCUUCAGGUCUUCAAAGAUGGACAGCGAGUUCUGUUUUACAUGGUGCCUCACUCGUGAGAGGAGUUAAUGCAGGGUUUUCUGAUUUUGAUUAGCAUUUUGCUCCUAACUACUGCUCUUAAAUUCAAAUUAUAGCUUUCUGGAGGAUGAAAAAGAAGGAGAAGAAAUAUGCUGAGGUUUGCAUAGCGAUCAACUAACCAUUCCAUUCUAAAACCAUAGAUUCUGCCAUUUGUUGAGC